GUCAGACUCCCGAGUAGCUGGGACUACAGGCGCCCGCCAUGAUGCCCGGCUAAUUUUUUGUAUUUUUAGCAGAGACGGGGUUUCACCCUGUUAGCCAGGAUGGUCUCAUCUCCUGACCUCGUGAUCCGCCCGCCUAGGCCUCCCAAAGUGCUGGGAUUACAGGCGUGAGCCACCGCGCCCGGCCUAAUAAAGGACAAUUUUUAAUAGCCACUGGACUAUUUAAGUGAUCUCUUCUGUCAGUUUCUUUUACCAUCAGAGGACACAGCAGCAAGGUGCCAUCCUAGAAGCAGAGAGCAGACCCUUACCAGACAACCAACCAGCUGGUGCCAUGAUCUUGGACUUCUCGGCCUCCAGAACUGCACUUAAACACGCAGCAUGAGGAAAAUGGAACAACAAUCUUGAGGUGCCUUCUGAAUCAUCAGAUUAAAUUAUGCUUCGUAUGUUUUGUUUUACUGUAUUUCUUUAAAAACUCUCAAUCUUUAUUCAUGUGUUACUGGAUUAAUUUAUUUGAUAAUGUCUCACAAGAAUCUAUUAGAUCAUUUAUUCUUCAGUUGUGCUUUGAAUGGUGGGGUGGAAGUUUCAGGUGAACACUGUGGAUAACAAAAGCAAGUUGUGGAAGACUGUGAAGAGGAUGGAAUAAUUGAAUACAAGAAAAAAAUGAAAAAAAUUGUCCCAUUUUUAAUAACUAUAUUACACUAUUAUUUUAUAAAUGUGUAACAAAGGGGUCCCUCUUUAAAAAAAAGAAAUAUCUCACGUAACCCAUAAUACAUACACUGACUUUGUACCCACAAAAAUUAAAAAAUAGCUCCUUAAUAAAUAAAUAAAUAAAAGAAUUCCUCAUCUGUCACCUACUACCCACCAAAAUUUUCAAUAAGUACAACUAUUUGUUUGGUGAAUGAAAUAGUAAUAUUUUCCCUUUGAACCAGGUGUUUUAAUGCUGUGAGCUGCUAAAGAUGGAAAUCAGCAAAGAAGGAAACAAGCUAGGCCACUACUCACUCCUUCUCCUUAGCCCAUGGAGAUAUAUUCCACAAAGCCAGCUAUUGAUUGCUACCAUUAGUCGGCCAGGCAAACCAGCAAUAAUUGCUUUAGCAAUUUUGUUCAUGAACAUUUCCUGUUAAUUUCCCAGGAGUAAAACCAGCUCCUCCCCCUCUUUUAACAAAAAGUCAGAGAGCAGGUGGAAAUUAUCAUACUCAUAAAUGUUACAAAAGUAUUAUUUACUUGGUUUGGGGUAGUGAAGAAUGCAAAGCAAAAGAUGAAGUAUUUCAAGUUUUUAAAAGAUUUGAAUCAACCACAUGUAUCAGUAAGUAAAGCAAAGACCAAAAUUAAAAAGUAUAUUUGAUUUUUUAUUUAUGGAAACUCUUCACCAUUCCACUUAAAAAUAAGUAAUAUCCCUUCAGGGUUUGGUACAUUUCAAGAUGUCUAACUUUCUAAUUAUUUAGACAAAAAAACAAUGGUUUAGCUCACUAAUUUUCACUGCUUCUUAUAUCCCAAAUCUUUUUUUUUUUUUUCUGAGUGGGAGAGAAUUUUCCUUUGUUCUGAAGUACAUCCUUUCAAACAUCAUUUAGUGGUGGUCUCAUGUGAUCGGCUUCUUGGUUUUGUCUGCCUAAAUAUGUCUAUUAUUUUAUAAAUGUGUUUAUAAAUUAAAUGUUUAAUUUUCUGUGUCAACUUGGCUAGGUCAUGACACCCAGAUAUUUGGCCAAACACAUCUGGAUAUUGCUGAGAAGUGAUUUUUUUAGAUGAGAUUAACAUUUAAAUCAGUGGACUUUGAGUAAAGCAGAUUACUCUCCAUAAUAUGGGUGGCCUUAUCCAGUCAGUCGAAGGCCUUAACCCGUUUAUGCCAGAGGUUGCAAAUUUUUUGUGUGAAAAAUCAGACCUUGGCAAUGACCUUGAGCAGUAGGAUAUAAAUAAAUCCCACAAGCUUAGCGUUCCAAUAGUGGAGCACUAGGCAUAAAUGCCUUAAAGAAAGGACUGAUCUCCCCUGAAGAAGAGAGAAUUCUGCCUCUAGAUUGCUUACAAUUUGAACUGGAACAUCAGCUGUUCUCUAGGUCUUAAGUCUGCUGCUCUAACCUACAAAUUUUGGACAUGCCAAUCUCCACAGUCACAUGGGCCAAUUCCUUAGUUUCUCUGGAGAAUCCUGACUAAUGUAUGCAAUGUCUUUAUUUCAUCCUCAUUCUUAAAGGAUAUUUUCAUCAGGUAUGCUAUUUUAGGUUGAUGGUUAUUUUCCUAGUGCAUUGAAGGUAUUAUUUUACAGGUUUAGACUUCCAUUGUUUCUGUUAAGAAACAGCAGUUUAAUUGUUUUUUUGUUUUUUCUUUGAAGGUAGUCUGUAGUUUUUAAUGGGUACUUUUAUGAACUUUUUUUUUUUGCUUUUGGUGGACUGUGGUUUCACUAGAUGUGUGCAUGGGUAGAUCUCUUUUUUAUUUUGCUAUUUGAGAUUUACUGGGCUUGAAUUUGUGAAUUAGUGUCUUUCAACAGUCCUGGGAUGUUCUUAGCCAUUGUAUUGUCAGACAUUGAUUCUUCUCCAUUUUCUCUCUCUUCUCUUUCUGAAAGUUCAAAUAGAUGAUUGUUAGAUCCCACUCUGUCCUUCCUAUGCCUUAAUCUCUAUUUUGUUUUCUAUUAGUUCCCUCUUCAGCUAUAUGUCUUUUUUUUUUAAUUAAUAGAUUUGUUUGUUUGUUUGUUUGAGACAGGGUCUUGCACUGCUGCCUAGGCUAGAGUGCAGUGGUGCAAUCAGGGCUCACUGCAGCCUCACUCAACUUCCCAGUCUCAAGCCAUCCUCCUACCUCAGCCUCUGUUCCACUAAUCUACUUGUCAAUUUUUCCAGCAACACCACACCCUCCUGAUCACCAUAGCUUUAUGCAACAACAAGAAACAAAUUUAUUAGCUAACCUAACCACUAAUGACGCAAGAGACAAUUCUAAGGACUUUCAAAACAGCAAAGUAGGAGCAGCUGCUACCUCUAGGGAUGAGGGAUGCAAUUGUCCAAUUAUUGGUGAAAUUGUCAUUUCAUGCUAUUGGCUAUUUGAAAUUCCUCCUCUAAUUUCAGAAUAAAUCACUGAAAUUGACAUCGGCCAGUCUGAAUUUCAAGAAAUUACCUGCUGAAGACAAGAGGGAUCUCUUCUUCAGAUUUGCAGUCUGGGGAAGACACAGCCUCUACUGUACUUUAGAACCUGAGAUAUGGUGGUGGAGGGAGCCCUGGGUCGAGUGGUAAGAUUCACCCUUAGGUCAGAGCUCCGGACUCCAGCCCCAUGCAACUUCAAAAUAUGACAAAUGUCUUGAAGGGGAGAUUGGCAUGCAGAUGAGGAAGGCCCUCUCGCCAACACAUUUGUAUUUCCUCUGUACUGUGAGACUGUGGGAGAUUUACUGCGACAUUUAGAAGCUUUCUUCCAAACUCCUGGGCCUCCGACACUGGUUCUAAACUCAGCAAAUGUUCUUUGGGAAAAACAGACAGUGCAUGUGAGGCCCCUCGAGUUUGGAAUUUAUGUCUCCAGCUUCACAUGGUCUCUCAAGUGCUUAUGCUUUUCUUCUCUCUGCCACCCACAUUCCCACAUCCCGCCCACCCCCCAACUUUCCUCCCUUCACCUUCCCAUGGAGACUUUUUGCCUGGGCUAAAUCUGAUCCUCAGCCCACUCUCAGAAUCGAUAAAUGCCCCUAGGUGAUUGUAAGCUCACCUAAGAUAUACUUUUUCUCCUCUAGAAUUUUAGUUUAUUAGAUUUUUCUAGUUGUCUUUGCAAAAGCGUUAACAGGCUCUGACUUCUGACAUUCAACUAGAUGUGGAAUAUCCAACCCCUAGCAUUUCAUGGAAUGUACUGACCAAGAUAAAAUGUGUUCUUAUUAAACAAUGCCAUUUCUUGACCACUUCUGUUUUUAGGAAUUGUGGUAUCUGAGUCAUGGUGAUUAGAAGUACUAAUGAAAUAAAUGGGAAAAUUAAACUUCUACUAACAUUUCAUAUAGUAGGGAGAUGUCUGUGAAGAAUUAUAACUGGUACAGAUUUUGUGUUUAUAAACAAGGAGACAGAAAAUGCAGAAAAUAAAAAAUAUUUUAUUUAGUUUUAAAGUGGUCAGAGUACUUUGUUUCUAAUCUCAUAACAUUAACUAGCAACAGAUUGAACUUUUAAGCAAAUUCCUCUGACCUAGUAGCUACUAGGAUUACCUACUGCAUGUAGAAACCAUUCUUAACUUGAGGGCCACAUAAAAAGAGGCCAUUGUCAGUAAUUUGCCAACCCUUGAUCCAGACCAUGUAUUGCUCUACCUCUAAACCAUAGUUGCUUCAUUUGCUUAAGUCUUUUCACAUAAUAAAACCCUUAUUAUAAGGAGGUGGUGCUGUUACCAGGACAACCAGGAACUGGGCCUCUACUAUUGUCAGCUGAAUUCUCUGCUCCGUUGUCAAUUCUCAACUCCAUUUCUGGCUUACCUCAAACAGAGUCACAAGAAAGUAAAUAUUUUGCAAUCUUCUUGUCCUUAGCUGUUCGUUCCUCCAGAAUGACAUAGAGAUUUGUAAAUAUUCACUGGAAUUCAAUGGCUUCAUGCAUUCUAUUUCCACAAACAAAUCCUGAUACAUUUCUCUCCUUCAAUAUAAAGUACUCAUUUUCUGAUCCGUAUUAGCCAGCAUCUUGCACUCCAAAUAACCAGUAACAAAAAGAUCCAUGGGUUGAGGUGAGAUUAUUGCUUUAGAUAGAGAAGUAUCUGACCAUUGUUAAUUACUUUGAAAACAGAUAUGUCAAAAAAGAUAAAACAUACAUUUAUUGUCCCUGACAAUUUACAAACCAAAAUAUACCAUAAUGCAACAAACUAUCUGGGUUGUGGCUUAUCUCCUCAGUUGAAACACUAUUGCCAAUGCUAAACAAUGGAACACAGUAUUUGGCUAUUGGCUAAAGAAAAUGAUGUUCAUACAGCUUAGACAGAAAUUAGUCAUUGAGUCACUAGAGACUAUAAGCAGCAUAUGAAUGCCUGAAACUUACAGAAGAAUCAAUACAGGCUAUUAAACUCUCAUUUCUUAGAAUACCGUAUACUUGCGUGUUUAAACUGACAUCUUAAAAAGUUUUGUAAAGAGCAAUUCAAACUCACAGCAUGAUAAAUAAUCUUUAGGUUUAAUGAGACCUCAAGAACUAGACCAGCUUGAAGCAUGCCAUCUUACCUAGUUACUUAAGAAGCUAGUUUUUCCUUUUGUAACAUGAUCUCAGAAAAAAGAAAAUAUAAUCAUUGUUCUAAGGCAAUCCACAAACUCUGUUACUCCCAUUACAUUUUCAAAACUGCAGACACUCAGGGGGUGUCCGAUUCAUGCCUGGGGCCAUGUGAAACACCCACCUCUGUGAGUAGCUUUAUUAACUCUAUAAACACUUCAAGACAUUCCUAGCAGUGUGGGGUAGCACACAUAUCUAUUGUCUAUCUUAGGUUUGGAAUCAUUUUUCCUCUUAAAAAUAACACACUGAACCAAUUAGCUUUUCUAAAUCAAAUUAACCUAAUAGCAUUCAAAAACUGACAAACAUAAUCUGCUUGUUCUAAGACAAAAGUGGAUUAGUGAACAGAAUCAUAUCUCUAGUCAGGUCCAAAUCAAGUUAUAAAUUCUAACCAAACAGUGAUUGCUGGAAUAAGUCAUAUUAUUAGUAUGCAUAGUCAUACUGAUCUCAAAUGUAAGCAACAUAGGCCUUUUCAGCAGGGAGAUAUAAAAGUUUAGAGUUGAAGAAUGUCUUUUCAUGUUGUGGUAGAGAGCUUGUUUCCUUUGACGUACAUGGCUCCCUCAAGCCUUAGGCUAUUUAGUUACAUCCCUUGUAGUCACAGGAAGGAAUAGCACUCCUCAUUUUUCUAUACCAUCUUUUAGGCAUGUUAUUGUUUAAUACUUUUUUUUUUGUUGCCUGCCUGCUGCUUGUUAGUAUAUGCACCAAAGCAAAUGAGGUAAGACUUCAAUGCAUCAAAUGCUUUUCCUUAAAACAACAUUUUUAUUGAAAUAUGAAACAAAUAUUUUUAUUACCUUCUUUAUAGAAGUAUUUUUUAAAGAAUAGUGAUUGAUAAUAUUGACAGAAAGGAGGACCUAUGAAUUAUCUAUAAAUUAUCUUUAUAUUUGAACUAUUCACAAAUGCAGAAAAUUUAAAAAUCAAAUACAUUUUUCACUUGCUAAUAUAUCUUUUCAUGAGACAUUAUCCUAUAAAAUCCACAGAGGGAUGUGUCCAUUUCUAUUCUCUGCCAACCCUUUUGGUACCACCCAUUGGACAUAACAUUUAGAAUUAAAUUAAGGUUAUCACUAUUGUUAAGCAAAUACUAUUAGAGGUUAGACUGGCAGGUCUUCAGAAAUAGCUCACACUGGAGCCAUGCAUCUCAGUACUCACACUCCUGUGUAGCCUCCUUUCCUUGAAUCUGAGAAUCUGAGAUGGUCCUGUAACUUGUUUUUAACCAGAAGAACAUGGUAGAAGUGAUACUGCCUGACUUCUGAGAUAAAAUUGUAAGAUUCCUUGCAGAUUUUCACCUAGGUCCCUUGGAAUGAGUACCCUGGAAAAAGCCAGCAGACACCACGCUGUGAGCAAAUGCCCAACCUAGCCAAGCAGUGGAGCAACAUGGGGAAAACGGAGAUACGUGGACAUUCUCCAGCUAUUUCAGUCAACCCAGCCAAGGAGAAGACAUGUGAGUGUAGAUGCUAUUGUAUAUGUCUAGGCCAGUAAAGCCUUUAGCAAGCUGGAGCCCCAGCAGCUAUUUGAAUUCAAUGAGAGACCCCAAGUGAGAGCCACCAUAUUGACCCAAUCAACACACCGAAGUGUGAGAGAGAAUAAUUAAGUGCUAGCCUAAGCCACUGAAUUUUGAGGGUGGUUUGUUACACAGCAAUCAACCAAAGCAAAGAUAUUGGUUACUUGUUUGGGGGUUUCAUUUUUAAUUAUAACAUUCCAUGGCUUCUAAACAAAUUUUGCACUUAUAAUUUUAUCAAUUUACUGAUAAUCCUGCUGUCCUUGUUUUGUAUCUACAAUGCUUAGAUUAGAAAAUCUAAUGGAGAAGUGUGUGUGUUUGUGUGUGUGUGUGUGUGUGUGUGUGUGUGUAUUUCACUCUUUUAUAUAAUGGAUUUUGAGGAACAACUAGAUUGGCUUUCUAAGAGAGGGGGAAAUGCUUCUGAAUAUUUUAAGUAAAAUUUUGAUCUACAACAACUCUGCUGUAAAUGUUUAAUAUAAUAUUAUUUUGAGACUUUGCAUGAGCUAAAAACAUCUAAAGCUAAUAAAGCCAGGCUUUUAAAGAGAAAAAGAGUAAUUAUAGGUUGCCUGUAAGAAACUCACUUACUUUACUUUUUUAUUUAUCUAUUUUUUAACUUAUCAUUUUAGAUACUCUCUGAAUUUUAAUUGUAGUGUUUAGAUGUUGAUCUGUCUUUACAUGUCAAACAUUUAAAUUAACUCUUUUGCCUGAAAGAAGAAAUACCAAGAUACAUAAAUUGAAUAAAAGGAGUGGUCUUGAGCACCAUAAAAAUACAAUGUUUGGGCCGGGCAUGGUGGCUCAUGCCUGUAAUCCCAGCACUUUGGGAGGCCGCAGCUGGUGGAUCACGAGGCCAGGAGAUUGAGACCAUCAUGACUAACACAAUGAAACCCCAUCUCUACUAAAAAUACAAAAGCAAAUUAGCCAGGCGUGGUGGCAUGCACCUGUAGUCUCAGCUACUCGGGAGGCUGAGGCAGGAGAAUUGCUUGAACCCAGCAGGUGAAGGUUGCAGUGAGCUGAGAUCACACCACUGCACUCCAGCCUGGGUGACAGAGAGAGACUCCGUCUCAAAGAAAAACAAAACGAUGUUUCAAAAUCUACACAGAAAAGAAAAAGAGGGGAGAAGAAAACUAAAAAGAGACUCUAAGAAAAAUAUUGAAGAAGAAGAUGGUUGGUGAAGGGGAUAUUGCUCUAGUACUAGUAUUUCUUUAGGCAGCUGUUUAAUGUUGCCUCUGAAUAAGUACAUAUUUUAAGGCAGUUAACAAUCUGGUUUAUGAAAAAAUGGGAAAUCACUGUGUGUUAGUGAGCCAGACAGAUGUGUAUAGUGUGGAUAGGGUUCUCUCUUUAAAAUGCACAGAACUGGAAUUUAGCGUUAACCUCAUAAGCACUUGAUGUUCAUGUGGGUGCUCACCAGGCAAUAUGCUCCAGCUAUUGAACAGAAUGCAUUCACUUGCUGUAUACUGAGUGGUCCCCUAGUAAGCUGGAAAAAGUUGUACUUAUGUCAUGUUUAAUUUAUAUAGUGUAGACAUCAUGAAUAAUUAAAUUUAAUAACUACUCAAUGUCAGUGUUUAUAUAUGGCUAGUAGCCAAUAUUUUUUGGUUCUUCAAGAAGAAAGGUACAUGUCUUAGGAAAACUUGAUACAGGAAAAUAUCAGUAUUCUCACUUCAGAGUCAUUCCUUUGGGGAAAAAAAAAGGCUACAAAUUUCCUAACUACGUGUUAAGCAUUGGUGCAGGCAUUGAUAAAGUUUGGAUGUUUGUCCCCCACAAAUGUCAUAUUGAAAUGUAAUCCCCAAUGAAGACGGGGCCUGGUAGGAGGUGUUGGCAUCCUGGGGUCAGAUCUCUCAUGAAUGGCUUGGUGUUGUCCUUGGGAUAGUGAGUAAGUUCUUGCGAGAUCUAGUUGUUUAAGAGUCUGGCACCUCCUCCCUCUCUCUCUUGCUCCCUCGCUCUCACCAUGUGACAUGCUUGCUCUCCCUUCACCUUCUGCUAUGAUUGGAAGCUUACUGAGGCCCUCACUAUGAGCAGAUGCUGGAACAAUGCUUAUACAGCCUGCAGAACUGUGAGCCAAUUAAACUUCUUUUCACAUUACCCAGCCUCGGGUAUUUCUUUAUAGCAAUGCAAGAGUUGGCUAACAUGGGCAUAGAGGGCAUAUAGCAGCUACAUUUGCCUGAGGUGUAUAGCAAAGGUGGUGUCAGGAAAGGUUAGCAUUGAGCUUUGUUCUUUAAAGUGAGUAAGUUACCAGGAUGGUAAAGGAGUAUCGAUGCAAAGUAAGGAGUGGAGAAAUACAUUUUAAGUGGAGGGAAUUAUUUAAAACAGGGCCCGAAUGUCUUCCUCGGGUGUUGCCAUAUAUUGUAUCUGAACAUCUUAUAUAGUAUUUAUUAUUUGAUGAUGUAAAAUCAGUUUCUUAUUGUUUCCUUCUUUCUCUAGAUUGCAAGCUUAGGGGGCAGCAAUAAUACGUCACUUAUGUUUGAGUCCUAAUUCCUCAUACAGUCUUUGGCAUAAAUAAUAGGCACUCAGUAAUUACUAUAAAUAAAGAAAGAAAAUAGCUGUAGUAAAAAUGGAUAACAUUUGUUGUAACAGUUUCAUUUAGAUAUUUAUGAGAGUGUUAGAGCUCCCUGUUAUAUUGUAAGAUUUUUUAGGGAAGGGAUCUUGCAUAAGUUUUAUCCUUUAAAUGGUGCCUGACUCAUAGUUAGAACCCUAUGGAAAGCAAAUUAUAGUCCUUUACAUUUCUUUAAUCAGCCAGGGCCUAAUUUAACCCUAUACGUUUAUAUAAAGGGCAGAAAUUAUUACAAUAAAUAAUCUUGAAACAGCAGAAUUCUGCAUUACAAAUAUGAGGCUGCCAUAUUUCUGUGUUUCUGGUUGCCUAGAAACAAAAAUGUGAAGUUGUAUGAAACUAUAAGAGUUUGUACUCAUAAGAUAUUCUAUGCAAAGUUCAGCCUGCCUCUCUGGGUUUGGAAAGCAUCAAUUCUGAGGAGCUUCAGACAAUAUUGCGGUCUUCAUAGCUGAAAGUUUGCAAAGUUGGGCUUGUUUCAUGGUAUUACCGGCAUAUCCAAUUAGCUAAAGAAAAUAAUUCUUCAUUUAGAGUAUCCAGAACAGACCAAUAACAAUAUUGUUCAAUAACAACUGCUCUAAAU
rnacentral:lncRNA from 1 species